rnacentral:tRNA from 1 species
UCCCGGUUGGCUCAGUGGUAAAGAAUCCGCCUGCCAAACUGAAAACACAGGUUCGAUUCCUGGGUUGGGAA